AGGAGGAAGAAGGAAGUACAGAAUACGAAAGCGAAGAGGAUGAGAAAUCGGAGGAUAGCCAAGAGGGAGAGAACGAGUCGGGGAAUGAGUCUGAAGAGGAUCACAGCAGAGAUGAUGAAAAUGCCGCUUUGGUGAGAUGACAUAGUUACUUUUAUAUCUAUUUUACUUCGACGUAUCUUUAUUACCUAGACAAAGCACAUUACGGGCUGAUAACGAUCAACACAAUAGCCACAUAAUUUUGCUAGAACGUCUCUGUGACUGAGGCUCAGCAAAGCAAUAAUAAUAUGAAAAUACUGAUAUCCGAGUUAUGAGCAGGAAAACCCAGUAGUGUCGUGGGAUCCAUUCAAUCAAGCUUUUUUCAGGAGCACCCAAGAUAUCCCAAUAGCAGGCACACAGCCAGCACCCCUUCCCUCACAACUCUAAGCGUACCGGUAUGAUAUAAAUGUUGCCACCCAUGAUUUGUUAUAAGUACUAGUAAUAGUUAUUCUCGCUGUGUUUGGAU
rnacentral:sRNA from 2 species